rnacentral:rRNA from 1 species
CCUACGGGAGGCUGCAGUGGGGAAUAUUGCACAAUGGGCGCAAGCCUGAUGCAGCCAUGCCGCGUGUGUGAAGAAGGCCUUCGGGUUGUAAAGCGCUUUCAGCGGGGAGGAAGGCGGUGAGGUUAAUAACCUCAUCGAUUGACGUUACCCGCAGAAGAAGCACCGGCUAACUCCGUGCCAGCAGCCGCGGUAAUACGGAGGGUGCAAGCGUUAAUCGGAAUUACUGGGCGUAAAGCGCACGCAGGCGGUCUGUCAAGUCGGGUGUGAAAUCCCCGGGCUCAACCUGGGAACUGCAUUCGAAACUGGCAGGCUAGAGUCUUGUAGAGGGGGGUAGAAUUCCAGGUGUAGCGGUGAAAUGCGUAGAGAUCUGGAGGAAUACCGGUGGCGAAGGCGGCCCCCUGGACAAAGACUGACGCUCAGGUGCGAAAGCGUGGGGAGCAAACAGGAUUAGAUACCCGGGUAGUC